ensembl:lncRNA
AAAGGCUCAUGUCUGGCUUAGGAAGAGCAGAUGGUCUAUAGGAAAUAACACAAAUGGUUGUGGCUUCAGGUAAAGCCAGCAUGGAGGAACCCAAACUACUACAUGAAGUGUCCCAUAACAGCAGAUAUUCCAGGAGGUCAGAGAAAUAGCUGCUGUAACCAGAGCAGACAGUGGAGAAUCACAGAAUCAUAGAAUGGGUGGAGUUGGAGGGAACCUCAAAGAUCAUCUCAUUCUAGGAGGAGAGUGCAAGAAAGGGAGAUGGGGAAGGGGAGCACAGCACAACACACUGAAAGACACUGGGUCCAAAAGGCUUCCUGGGUCCAAAAUCAUCUUGGGAAGGAGGAGAAGGAAGAUCUGCCCAGACCCCUCAGCCAGACUGCAGCAAGGACAAAGCCUCAGGAGAGAAAUUCUGCCAGGAAGAGUAAUUCUUUGGAGGAGGGAGGCUAUAAAUCACUGCCUGGUCUAUAAGAGGCAUUCCAAAUACCCUUGGAUGUGUCAUCUCACAGAUUUUUACCAGGUCACAGCAUGAAGCAAGCUGAUGGGGUUUUUGUUCUUGUUCCUGAAAAACAGGCUUCUUAUAGAAAAGCUAUUUGCAGAAAAUAACUUCAGCUAGAGUAAGCAUGAGUCAAUGUCAUUUUGUGUAAAUGGGAAGAUCAAUAAGAACAGAAUGGUGGCUGUGUCUGUGAUCAUGCACAAGUCAGGAAAGCAAGUUAUUGCAGCUGGACAGAUUUGGGAAUACAAGCACGCAAACAUAGAAAAUGGAUGACGCUGUGUGAAGCCAAAGGUGAAGCCUGUCUAAAACUCCCUCCUAAGCUUGAGGGAGAAGCCGGCAGAGCAGAGCUGUUGGACAAGAUGACCUUCAAAGGUUCCUUCCAACUUCAACCAUUCUGUGAUUCAAGCAAGCAAGCAGUAUUCGUACACUGAGGACAAUGUUUGGAACAAGUGGAAUGCCUGCAAGGAGAGAAAAGAAAAAGCCCUAAGAAAAGUCACCACUGAAAGAUGAAGGAGAACAGGGAGAUAAUGAAAACUGUGUGCAGUCUUAAGAGGUGCACUUUUCAGCCAUGUAGCUAAAGUACAGGCACCCAUAGGGUGCUACUCAGCUCAGAGCCCAUGAAGUCAGAGCACACCCAGUCACAGUUUUCCAGAACAACAGUGACAAUUUAUGGCAAAGGUAGGGUGGCCUGGACAACCUGAAGGCAUGGGGACAGCAGCAUUAUGCAGGGAGGAAAGUCUUCAGAGGUCUGCUGCACAUCAGGGGACUGCAGGAGGGGAACCUGUCUGCACCUGGACUCAGGAGGAAUGAAUGCUUCACCUUCAGAAAAGAUGCAAAGUAUCUUUGUGAAGUAUCUACAUAUGAUGUGAGAAUUAAAGUUCCAGGUUGCAUGUGCCACCUGCCAGCCCGGAGAGGGAAGGAGGAAAUGUCAAAGGUGUUGAGCAAAUGGUAUACAAGCCACACCUUCAUUUCAUUUUUCAAUAACUAUACGGGCUUGCAUUUAAAUCUGCAGUCUCUGGAAGUGUCUUUCUGCUAAUUAAAUUGCUUUUGAUUUGCUAUCAAACCUAAUAUGAGACAGGUGAGCUCAAGAUAGAGUGGGGAGCAGCAGAUCAGCACUCUUCUUCACAAAACACAUGCCUACACCAUGGUCUCACUAGGUUUGCAGAGCCA